GACGAACUGUCCUAACGUUGUUCGGAAUCACUGGGCUUAAAGGGCGCGUAGGCGGUCCCACAAGUCAGGGGUGAAAUCCUGCAGCUCAACUGCAGAAGUGCCUCUGAUACUGUAGGUCUUGAGGGAGAUAGGGGUGUGCGGAACUUCCAGUGGAGCGGUGAAAUGCGUUGAUAUUGGAAGGAACGCCGGUGGCGAAAGCGGCGCACUGGAUCUCUUCUGACGCUGAGGCGCGAAAGCCAGGGGAGCGAACGGG
rnacentral:rRNA from 1 species